ensembl:lncRNA
AUGAAGUUGGACUGCUGGACGCUGCUCAAACAGUUGCACUCUAUUAACCAUGUAUGUUUUAUCAUUGUAGGUCCUGUUGGUCCUGCUGGCCAUCCUGGCCAACCUGGUCCUAAAGGUGAUAAAGGGGAACAAGGAGAAGCUGGAAUCAUAAUGGAAACCCGAGAGUCUAGAACUGCCAGCCAGUUUGGUGCUUCAGGUGUUUCCCAGGGUAUUCAGGGUAAACCUGGCCCACCUGGUCCCCCAGGACCUCCUGGACACCCAGGAGACUCUAGACCAGGACCUCCUGGACCACCUGGAGAACCAGGCCAGCCAGGUAAAAGUGAUUAA